UACGUAGGGGGCAAGCGUUGUCCGGAAUCAUUGGGCGUAAAGCGCGUGUAGGCGGCUUGGUAAGUCCGCUCUGAAAGCCCGGGGCUCAACCCUGGGAUGCCGGUGGAUACUGUCGAGCUCGAGUCCGGAAGAGGCGAGUGGAAUUCCUGGUGUAGCGGUGAAAUGCGCAGAUAUCAGGAGGAACACCAAUGGCGAAGGCAGCUCGCUGGGACGUGACUGACGCUGAGACGCGAAAGCGUGGGGAGCAAACAGG
rnacentral:rRNA from 1 species